rnacentral:rRNA from 1 species
GAUGAACGCUGGCGGCGUGCCUAAUACAUGCAAGUCGAGCGAACGGACGAGAAGCUUGCUUCUCUGAUGUUAGCGGCGGACGGGUGAGUAACACGUGGAUAACCUACCUAUAAGACUGGGAUAACUUCGGGAAACCGGAGCUAAUACCGGAUAAUAUUUUGAACCGCAUGGUUCAAAAGUGAAAGACGGUCUUGCUGUCACUUAUAGAUGGAUCCGCGCUGCAUUAGCUAGUUGGUAAGGUAACGGCUUACCAAAGCAACGAUGCAUAGCCGACCUGAGAGGGUGAUCGGCCACACUGGAACUGAGACACGGUCCAGACUCCUACGGGAGGCAGCAGUAGGGAAUCUUCCGCAAUGGGCGAAAGCCUGACGGAGCAACGCCGCGUGAGUGAUGAAGGUCUUCGGAUCGUAAAACUCUGUUAUUAGGGAAGAACAUAUGUGUAAGUAACUGUGCACAUCUUGACGGUACCUAAUCAGAAAGCCAUGGCUAACUACGUG